rnacentral:rRNA from 1 species
UGCCAGCAGCCGCGGUAAUACGAAGGGGGCUAGCGUUGUUCGGAAUUACUGGGCGUAAAGCGCGCGUAGGCGGAUUGUUAAGUCAGGGGUGAAAUCCCGGGGCUCAACCCCGGAACUGCCUCUGAUACUGGUAGUCUUGAGUUCGAGAGAGGUGAGUGGAAUUCCGAGUGUAGAGGUGAAAUUCGUAGAUAUUCGGAGGAACACCAGUGGCGAAGGCGGCUCACUGGCUCGAUACUGACGCUGAGGUGCGAAGGUGUGGGUAGCGAACAGGAUUAGAUA